GGGCUUACACAUGCAAGUCGCGCGUGAAAGGACUUCGGUCCGAGUAAAGCGGCGCACGGGUGAGUAACGCGUGGAUGAUCUACCCAUGAGUUAGGAAUAACGGCUGGAAACGGUCGCUAAUACCGAAUACGCUCCGAUUUCAACUUCGGGGGAAAGGUGGCCUCUGCUUGCAAGCUACUGCUCAUGGAUGAGUCCGCGUCCCAUUAGCUAGUUGGUGGGGUAACGGCCCACCAAGGCGACGAUGGGUAGCCGGUCUGAGAGGAUGACCGGCCACACUGGGACUGGAACACGGCCCAGACUCCUACGGGAGGCAGCAGUGGGGAAUAUUGCGCAAUGGGCGAAAGCCUGACGCAGCGACGCCGCGUGAGGGAUGAAGGUCCUCGGAUCGUAAACCUCUGUCAGGAGGGAAGAACCGCCACGGUGCUAAUCAGCCGUGGUCUGACGGUACCUCCAAAGGAAGCACCGGCUAACUCCGUGCCAGCAGCCGCGGUAAUACGGAGGGUGCGAGCGUUAAUCGGAAUCACUGGGCGUAAAGCGCACGUAGGCUGCUUGGUAAGUCAGGGGUGAAAGCCCGCGGCUCAACCGCGGAAUUGCCUUUGAUACUGCCGAGCUAGAGUCCGGGAGAGGGUAGUGGAAUUCCAGGUGUAGGAGUGAAAUCCGUAGAGAUCUGGAGGAACAUCAGUGGCGAAGGCGACUACCUGGACCGGUACUGACGCUGAGGUGCGAAAGCGUGGGGAGCAAACAGGAUUAGAUACCUGGGGGUAAUCC
rnacentral:rRNA from 1 species